rnacentral:rRNA from 1 species
UACGUAGGGGGCAAGCGUUGUCCGGAUUUAUUGGGCGUAAAGAGCGUGUAGGCGGCCAUGCAGGUCAGCUGUGAAAACUCGAGGCUCAACCUCGAGACGUCGGUUGAAACCUUAUGGCUAGAGUCCGGAAGAGGAGAGUGGAAUUCCCGGUGUAGCGGUGAAAUGCGCAGAUAUCGGGAAGAACACCUAUGGCGAAGGCAGCUCUCUGGGACGGUACUGACGCUGAGACGCGAAAGCGUGGGGAGCAAACAGG